UUGCUGAAUUUUUUGACGUGGGUGGGGUGUUAGCUUCACACAGCUGCGGCAGCUGUCUUUGAAAUCAAGUUUCUGCUAUGUUUGCGUGUUCAGGAGGAAAAGGACAACGCAUUUCUGAAUCACAGGUGAGCUCCUUUCACGGUUUUAACUGAAGUUAGCUAACUUUAACCAACUGUAAUUUCUGAGCCAUGCUGUUUAUGUACGAGGGUAUGUUGUUGUUCUUGCACUGCAGCUAGACAUUUUUGCUAUAUGGAACAUUUAAUUUUCCCAAACGCAACACUUCCAUUAAUGUUUCUGUAGGAACGACUGCAUAGAUGUAUUUAUAUUUCUGGUCUACUUUAGACUGCAUGUGCUUAAAGUUAUUGCGAAUGCUGUUAAUGGUAGAAGCAACCUUUUCAAGUUUGGUUCAAUAAUUCAUUUGAAUUACUUUGAGUGUGAAAUGUUAAUGCAUGCAAGUUAAAACUGUGAAGAACACAUUAGCUUUUGUUUCAAUAACAAAAGCUAUACUUCCAAGUAUUUUGGUAAUACUUCACAGCUAAUAUUUAAUAUUUUCCUUAGACCUCUUGACUCUCAUCCCCAAAAUACCUGCACUAAAGUCACUGGGUACAUGACAGUUGAAGGGUUUUAAGAUAAUGAAAUUUAAAUAUUAAUAUUACAGUUUUUCUCAGUUUGGGUGCAUUUCUCAGAACAGAAUUUAAAUUCUUAAAACUACCUGUUAAAUCUUCAAAUUACUGCGUCACUUCUGCACUUAAAAAAAAUUAGUUUCUCAUUCCUUUUGCAAGUUUGCUUUCACAUCAUGUAUGUGCACUUCUCUGCUUUUCCCCCGUUGUAAUUUGCUUUAAUUGUGUUGAUCAAAAUGUGUUAAAUGUGUCUCUGUUGAAUUGUCUCAACUUCCAAAACAGCAUAAGUAAAAAUGUAAGUCUUAACACGCAUAAGUCUUGAAAUUGUCAUGAUGUCAAUCAUAUUUUAAUUAAUUUAUAUUAGAUUUUUUUCUAAAUCUGUCCUGAAUUGGUAAAUUGCUCCCAAGUGAGUCCUGGAUUUCUCUAACAGGUCAAUGUAUGAACCAUUAGCUCAACCAACGAUCAACCAGUUUUCUGAAGCAGAUUGAAGGUACAUCUGUGAACCAUCAGUUGGCAACAAUAUGGCCAAUAUACAGUAAAAAAUGCUGGGUUAUUUUCAUAACCCAAUUCCUGGGUUGAAGCUGUUGGGUCAUAGGUUGGGUUAGUUUGACCAAAUAUUGGGUCAAAAUUCAUAACGCAAGAGUUGGGUCAGAAAUUUACCGGAGGUUUACAGCUUGAACACUUCUGUUGGGUCAGGGGUUGGGUAGAUUUAACUAAUCGGUUGGGUUAAAGACGAAACUUGGAAGAAGCCACGCCCCUCUUCACAAGCCUCCAUUUUCAACAAGACUGUGAACGUUGCAUAUCGGACUUCAACACUACUUUGAAAUAAGACAUGAGAGGAUCACACCUUUUGACAACAAACAAAGGUUUAAGAACUACUGACUUCUCAGUCAGAAAUUAUCACACCGCCUGGUUGAAGUCUCCAUAUGCAAGUCAACAAAGCAGAGAGGAAACACCCGAUUGACGACAUGCGAGUCUCAAUUUCAACCUGUAACGGGGAAGACCAUAACCAUGACGCACACCAUCCUGAGCAAAGUCUGAACUCAGUGACUUGCCACUCUCAACCCAGAGCAAGAAUCCUUUAAUUGGCAGUUUUUCUUCUACAAUAGGUUUAUCUCUUAUAAGGACACAUGCAGUUUUUUGUUUUUUUCCCCAAAUCUCAGUAAUACAGUGAGGAAACUGG